rnacentral:rRNA from 1 species
UGGGGAAUAUUGGACAAUGGGGGCAACCCUGAUCCAGCGAUGCCGCGUGAGUGAUGAAGGCCCUAGGGUUGUAAAGCUCUUUUGUCAGGGAAGAUAAUGACGGUACCUGAAGAAUAAGAUCCGGCUAACUCCGUG